UAUGCAGGAGAUUGUUACUUUUUACCACAGGACAUUUUCUACUGAUUGUACAGGAGGUGAUAUGUGAAAGACUGACCUCUACUGGGAGAUUUCAUUCCUAAUGAUUUGUAUAAUGUUGCAGGGACUGGUUCAAGAAAAAAAGUUAUCAACUGCAGGUAUAAAGUCAGUGUACACCGCGGCCGGUUGCCAUGCCGACGCUCUGGACAUGCGUAGUCUUCCGGUAUCGCGUUGAUAGUCGGUAGAGGGUAUAAAGGAAUUGAGGCCCUGGGAGCCACUGCGCUAAGCCUCCUAUUAGCAAGGCCAGGGCUCUGUGAAGAAGAAGAGCAGGAUAGCGUGGCUCUCCAGCUCACUUAGAUGGCAUCAGGAAAAUCUGGAAAAACCAAAAGCGGAAGAAGUAUUAUGUUACCAAUAGACAGAAUUGUAUCUUGGUGGAAUUGGUGAUUGAAAAUUAUGAGGAAAUAAUUGGGUACCAAGCAAGAACUGUAAACCCACAAAGAAAAAAAUCUAUAUGGGUACAAAUAAGUCGGUCUGCCUCAGCUGAAGGAAGUUUCCCAAACGAUGUAAGGGCCUGUCGUAAGAGGGUGAUUGAUAUUAGAAAGAAGAUCAAGAAAAAAGUAUGCAGAGAAAAGCAAUCUGCUAAAGGAACCAGUGGAGGCCCCGGAUAUAGGGCAGAAUUGACUGACUAUGAACAGCAGCUGUAUGCCAGGAUGGGUGAUCCUGUUUUGGUGGGCCUUGAUGUUCCAUCAGAUAAAAUGGAUUUCAGAGCAAAAUGAUGAGGGAUGUGAUAAAGAGGAGUUCCAUGCACAGGAGGAUCAACAUUUUGCUUCUGAAAAUACAUCACAGGAGCCACAACCAUCCACUUCUCAUGAAAUUACCCACAGAAAAG